CGCCGGGAUAGCUCAGUUGGUAGAGCAGAGGACUGAAAAUCCUC
rnacentral:tRNA from 1 species